rnacentral:rRNA from 1 species
UACGUAGGGUGCGAGCGUUAAGCGGAAUUACUGGGCGUAAAGCGUGCGCAGGCGGUUCGUUGUGUCGGCGGUGAAAGCCCCGGGCUCAACCUGGGAAUGGCCGUUGAAACUGGCGAACUGGAGUGUGGCAGAGGGGGGUGGAAUUCCGCGUGUAGCAGUGAAAUGCGUAGAGAUGCGGAGGAACACCGAUGGCGAAGGCAGCCCCCUGGGCUGACACUGACGCUCAGGCACGAAAGCGUGGGGAGCAAACAGG